rnacentral:rRNA from 1 species
CAAAGGUAGCAUAAUCAUUAGUUUUUUAAUUGAAAGCUGGAAUGAAAGGUUGGACGAGAAAAUGACUGUCUCAAUUUAAUUUUAAUUAGAAUUUUAUUUUUAAGUAAAAAAGCUUAAAUAAUUUUAAAAGACGAGAAGACCCUAUAGAAUUUUAUAUAUUUUAAAAUAAAUGUUUUUAAGUUAAUUUUUAUUUUUAUUUAAAAAUGUAUUUUGUUGGGGUGAUAGGGAAAUUUAAUGAACUUUCUUUUUUUUAUAUCAUUAAUUUAUGAUUAGAUGAUCCAUGUUUUAUGAUUAUAAGAUUAAAUUACCUUAGGGAUAACAGCGUAUUUUUU